GAUGAACGCUGGCGGCGUGCCUAAUACAUGCAAGUCGAGCGAACGGACGAGAAGCUUGCUUCUCUGAUGUUAGCGGCGGACGGGUGAGUAACACGUGGAUAACCUACCUAUAAGACUGGGAUAACUUCGGGAAACCGGAGCUAAUACCGGAUUAUAUUUUGAACCGCAUGGUUCAAAAGUGAAAGACGGUCUUGCUUUCACUUAUAGAUGGAUCCGCGCUGCAUUAGCUAGUUGGUAAGGUAACGGCUUACCAAGGCAACGAUGCAUAGCCGACCUGAGAGGGUGAUCGGCCACACUGGAACUGAGACACGGUCCAGACUCCUACGGGAGGCAGCAGUAGGGAAUCUUCCGCAAUGGGCGAAAGCCUGACGGAGCAACGCCGCGUGAGUGAUGAAGGUCUUCGGAUCGUAAAACUCUGUUAUUAGGGAAGAACAUAUGUGUAAGUAACUGUGCACAUAUUGACGGUACCUAAUCAGAAAGCCACGGCUAACUACGUG
rnacentral:rRNA from 1 species